rnacentral:rRNA from 1 species
AUAGCUUGCUAUAAUUGUCAGCUAAGUGGCGCACGGGUGAGUAAUGUAUAGAUAACCUGCCCUUAAGAAAGGAAUAACAGUUGGAAACGACUGCUAAUGCCCUAUAUGCCUUUAAUACAUAAGUAUGCAAGGGAAACGCUUUAGUGCUUAAGGAUGGGUCUGUAUGGUAUCAGCUUGUUGGUGAGGUAAUGGCUCACCAAGGCUAUGACGCCUAACUGGUUUGAGAGGAUGAUCAGUCACACUGGAACUGAGACACGGUCCAGACUCCUACGGGAGGCAGCAGUGGGGAAUAUUGCACAAUGGACGAAAGUCUGAUGCAGCAACGCCGCGUGGAGGAUGACACAUUUCGGUGCGUAAACUCCUUUUAUAUAGGAAGAUAAUGACGGUACUAUAUGAAUAAGCACCGGCUAACUCCGUGCCAGCAGCCGCGGUAAUACGGAGGGUGCAAGCGUUACUCGGAAUCACUGGGCGUAAAGAGCGUGUAGGCGGGUAUAUAAGUCAGAAGUGAAAUCCAAUAGCUCAACUAUUGAACUGCUUUUGAAACUGUAUACCUAGAAUGUGGGAGAGGUAGAUGGAAUUUCUGGUGUAGGGGUAAAAUCCGUAGAGAUCAGAAGGAAUACCGAUUGCGAAGGCGAUCUACUGGAACAUUAUUGACGCUGAGACGCGAAAGCGUGGGGAGCAAACAGGAUUAGAUACCCUGGUAGUCCACGCCCUAAACGAUGUACACUAGUUGUUGUGAGGCUCGACCUUGCAGUAAUGCAGUUAACACAUUAAGUGUACCGCCUGGGGGGUACGGUCGCA